GGCGCGGCGCUGGGCCGCUGCCCAGCGCGUGCUGCCGGCGCCCCGGGACUGCUCGCAGCCAGGUGGCCGGCGGGAGCGGCGUUUCUUGCUCUCGGAGUUGCGCCUUCAAAGCCGCAUGAUCGCCUGACAUUGGUUAGAAAGCGUUUAGCUGCAGCUCAGGGCUGGGAGGGAGUGUGAGGACGCCUGAGGGGCCUCAGCAAAAUUCACAGAAAGAAGGUCACGGUAACAGUGAGAAAUGCGAACCGACGUGUUGGAAGCAAUUGGAGGUCCUAGUCCCCUGAGAUGUGGAGAAGGGUACAACAGACAUGAAAGACGGCUGGCAGUCAGACCAUUAUGGUCCUUUGGAGGAAGUGAAAAAGCAAGCCUGUUGAUCCAAAGAACCAAUCCAGGCACACCACUGAGCUGUUUCUUGCACUGUUGCUUCGGUUUUGAUUCGGUUACUAGCACUUCGUCUUUUCCUAUGUCAACACCAUAACGGAUAACAUUUGUUUAAGCAACCAUUAAACGAAAGGGGAGGGGGCGGGGCGAGGGGAAGGAAUGUUCCUUGUAAGUGUGUAGAACUGUGUUUGUGGACACCGUUUGAAACCACUGCACACCAUUAUUCUCUACUCAAGCUCCGCCUUGGAAGAAAAUGUUGAUAUGCUGUUUAGCUAUUAAUUUUUCCACGUUCAGUUAACACGCAGGGCUCAUCUAGAAACACCCAUUCCUGGUAAAGUUUAUUGCUGAGUGGCCAGUUUCAGAGGCUGGAGCUGACAAAAAUGGAUGCCUACCACCUGUUGUCAUAAUUGCCAGAGUUGUGCUAAGGGGUCGCUCUUUUUUUUUUUUUUUAAUCUAGUUUGACAGACAGUAUUGGCAAUCGUACUGUAUAAGAAAUGUCACUUGGGGACGGGAGGAAGAUUGGGAGGCAGCAGGAUCUGCACAGUGAUCUGGAAAGAAGAAAGUCUUCCUGCUGAAGAGCACACCUUACAACAAGCCUACCCCCUCUCUGAAUAUUUUAGCUCACCUUGAUGAGUCUGGCUUGGGGAUUGGAAUGCGAAGGGAAUUCCCAACAGGUCAGGCAUAAUUUACUGGAUCACUUGGAGUCCCUGGGCGCAAACUGUUAAUAGGUUUGGCUGCUAACCACAUGUUGGAGGUUUGAGUCCAUCCAGAGGUGCCUCAGAAGAAAGGCCUGGCAAUCUAUUUCUGAAAAAUCAGCCAUUGAAAACCAUAUAGAGCACAGUUCUACUCUGACGCGCAAGGGAUUGCUAUAAAUUGGAAUCCACUCAACAGGAACUGUUUUUUUGUUUUUUUUGCAAAGCCUAUAGGCUGGCUAUGAGUCGGAACCAACUCAACGGCACUGGGUUUGGUUUUUUUGUUUUGGUAUAGGCUGGUUUUUGCAUAUCAGUUGCCCCCGCUUCCCCGAUUCCUAGUUUUGGAUGACAUGGAUUCCUAGGGGAGGUGAUCUUAACCACAGUUUUUCUUCCGGGCUGGAAACUGCAGGUACCUGACAGAGCAGGAGUACAAUUGGAGGUCCUCACUCCAGACCCUUCCCCCUUUCUCUUUCUAAUCUCCACCCUUGACUCAGCAUUGUACCAUGAAGAAAAAAAAAAAUACCA